AGAGUUUGAUCCUGGCUCAGGACGAACGCUGGCGGCGUGCUUAACACAUGCAAGUCGAACGGAAAGGCCCUUCGGGGUACUCGAGUGGCGAACGGGUGAGUAACACGUGGGUGAUCUGCCCUGCACUUUGGGAUAAGCCUGGGAAACUGGGUCUAAUACCGGAUAGGACCGCAUGCUUCAUGGUGUGUGGUGCAAAGCUUUUGCGGUGUGGGAUGAGCCCGCGGCCUAUCAGCUUGUUGGUGGGGUAAUGGCCUACCAAGGCGACGACGGGUAGCCGGCCUGAGAGGGUGACCGGCCACACUGGGACUGAGAUACGGCCCAGACUCCUACGGGAGGCAGCAGUGGGGAAUAUUGCACAAUGGGCGCAAGCCUGAUGCAGCGACGCCGCGUGAGGGAUGACGGCCUUCGGGUUGUAAACCUCUUUCACCAGGGACGAAGCGCAAGUGACGGUACCUGGAGAAGAAGCACCGGCCAACUACGUGCCAGCAGCCGCGGUAAUACGUAGGGUGCGAGCGUUGUCCGGAAUUACUGGGCGUAAAGAGCUCGUAGGUGGUUUGUCGCGUUGUUCGUGAAAACUCACAGCUUAACUGUGGGCGUGCGGGCGAUACGGGCAGACUAGAGUACUGCAGGGGAGACUGGAAUUCCUGGUGUAGCGGUGGAAUGCGCAGAUAUCAGGAGGAACACCGGUGGCGAAGGCGGGUCUCUGGGCAGUAACUGACGCUGAGGAGCGAAAGCGUGGGGAGCGAACAGGAUUAGAUACCCUGGUAGUCCAA
rnacentral:rRNA from 1 species